rnacentral:lncRNA from 1 species
CAAAAAUGAAUCUGUUCUCACUCUCAUACUAUGAAGCAGAAUUGAUGCUUUUGGUGUGAGAAGGAUUGGUAAAUUGAAAAUAACGAAAAAUGCAUGUUUAUAAUUCAUUUUUUAAUAUAUUUUACAUUAUUUCAGACAAAAAGAAAGAAAUAUUCAUACUUGUCAAUACACAUGAAGUUUUUAACACGGACAACCUACCGAAAAAAAAGGUCAACGACUGGAUGAAUUAUUGAGAAAAGAGGACAAAAUUGUCCUGAAAUUGUUUCCAUCAAUCAAUUAACAAGUAGGUAUGAUUUUGAACUAUACAUAAAAAUAAUUAAGUCUUCAUUACUUGACAUUUUAUUUCAUUUUAAAUAUAAAUUGCAACUCAAUUUAUACACAUUGUACUUAAAUAACUAUCUUCCUUUCUUUAAUUUCAGUCAGUCUCAUGUCCUUAAUUAAACAAACUAAGUUACAUAACAAUAAAGCUAAUGCAAAUACGUACAAUAACUAUGAAAGAAAAUGAAGAAAACAAAGAGAUGAAAAUUGAAGGAGUUGUUUUCUUGUUCACAUAAAUAUUUUUUUUGUCUGUUUUUCUUUUUUUUAAAAUGAUUUUUUCAAUAAUACACAAAGGGGUUUUCAAACAUAUUUACAACAACAACAACAAAUGGUUUAACUACAGGUAUCAAUUUUUCCACUAUUUUAAAAUUUUGUUUUCAACUUAUCCUUUAUUUUUAAAAUAAAGCAAAUUGAAAAACACAAAUAAUAAAUAAUUAUAAAUAAAUUUUUUACAGGACUAUUUUUCUUAAUUAUUUCAUUAUUACAAUCAGUGCGUUUUGAUGCUCCCAUUUGAUUGAAUAAAUUUCUAGGAAAUUUACUUCAAUUAAUAUUUACAAAGAAAAAAAUGGUAAUUUUGAAUUAAUUUUUGCAAUGGACAAGAAACAGCCAAACACAAUCAUAAUUGGAGGAUAUUUUAUAUCCUCUUCGAAAGGAGGGAAGGAUAAUCAUAUUACACACAAAUAACUAUUUUAUGACUAACUGGGUUUGCACCCACAAUGAUCUUAAUUAACGACUUUCAAAUGGUUUUUUACAAGGAAAGAAAUGAACACGGAAUUUGGGAUUCCUGUUCUUCAGAUGAAAGAGAAAGUCAGAUGGCUGCAUCAAAUCCGGUAUCAUUUUAGAAAGAAAAUGUAUGUACAUGAAAGUUUAUUUUUGAAUUUCAAAUGCUGAAAAAGCAUGGAGAGAGAAUUGAAAGUAUUUGGAGACUAAUGUCAAUAGUAAUUGAACAAAAGAUUGAGGGUGCUUGAUGCAAGAUUGAGGAAAAUUUCAAAGGCAAGGAAAAUUUCGAAGAUUAUCAACUAUUCUCAGAUCAGGAGGUGGUUAUUCAAUUUUUUUUUUCAAUUACAGGAUAGUAUCGAUAGUUUUAUAUAUCAUCAUGCCAUUUGUAAUAUAAUUUUCUUCCCCUCUCCAAAUAAUCAAAAUCGAUGCAAAAAGAGACCUUCAUAUUUGGUAAUAAAUUAGGAUAAUUAAUUUUGGUGGCACACUUACUCUCACACAAACACACAUACACAAACAUACUAAACGCAACAAUUACCACAUACUUAGAAACUAAACUUUAUACAAAUAAUGUACAGUGUUGCAAAUUGGUCCUGAAAAACGUAUUUUUAAGUUAAAAAUUCAUUCUGGUUGUCUUGCCUCACUAAAGCUAUCCUUUAGUUACAAUCCAGUUGUUACUUCAUUUAUAUCAUCACUUUAGUUUUAUUGGAGAUUUUAAAUUCAAUGUACAUCUUAAAAUUAUAAAUUUUCCUACAUACGUUUUUCAAUCGAGAUCGAAAGCAACUUUAUAAAUUAUACAUAAUCAAAAUUAGUUCAUGAUUUGUACCCACUUAUUCAUUGAAUUUGAAACUGAAAAGUUCAUGUUCUUUAAACAACAGUUGACUUUCCUCGUUUUAAUUCAUUUUUAAUAUACAUGCCAUGAUGGGCUUUGUACUAUCAUACAAACACAAUUUAGAAAACGAUUACACAUGUAAAUCAAUUAUUCAUGAUACAUGAAAAAAUAAAGUAAAAGAGAUUGAUUUCAAGGGAAAUGCAGAGAAAAAUACCAAUCAACAACAAAAUCAUGAUUUAAAAUUGAUAAUAUUUUAACCAUGAAUAAAUAAAACUGAUAUGAAUGAGUUUCUGUAUUUAACUCUGCGAACUUCUAGAUAUGUCAAUACAGUGUUACUUUGAGCAUAAGUACCACAUGUAUUCUUCACAGCAAACCAAGGAAGUUAAAAGUUAUACAGAUUUAGCGCCUAGGCUUCCAUCUUUACAAUUUUGUGCGAAUUAGCAGAUGGAGGUCGAGGAGAUGACGGAGGAGUUUUCUUUGAUAAAUUUAAAGGUUGCUGAGAGUUUGCAAUUCCAACUUGCAACUCAAC